AGGGUUUGAUUAUGGCUCAGGAUGAACGCUAGCUACAGGCCUAACACAUGCAAGUCGAGGGGCAGCGGAGUUGAAGCUUGCUUCAACUGCCGGCGACCGGCGCACGGGUGAGUAACACGUAUCCAACCUUCCGUUUACUCAGGGAUAGCCUUUCGAAAGAAAGAUUAAUACCUGAUAGUAUCGAGAGAUUGCAUGAUAACCCGAUUAAAGAUUUAUCGGUAAACGAUGGGGAUGCGUUCCAUUAGCUUGUUGGCGGGGUAACGGCCCACCAAGGCAACGAUGGAUAGGGGUUCUGAGAGGAAGGUCCCCCACAUUGGAACUGAGACACGGUCCAA
rnacentral:rRNA from 1 species